rnacentral:rRNA from 1 species
UACGGGGGGGGCAAGCGUUGUUCGGAAUUACUGGGCGUAAAGGGCGCGUAGGCGGCCUGCUAAGUCGGAUGUGAAAUCCCUCGGCUCAACCGAGGAACUGCAUCCGAUACUGGCGGGCUUGAAUCCGGGAGAGGGAUGUGGAAUUCCAGGUGUAGCGGUGAAAUGCGUAGAGAUCGGAAGGAACACCAGUGGCGAAGGCGGUUGCCUGGAGCUUUACUGACGCUGAUGCGCGAAAGCGUGGGGAGCGAGUCCGG